rnacentral:rRNA from 1 species
UACAGAGGGGGCCAGCGUUAUUCGGAAUUAUUGGGCGUAAAGGGCGCGUAGGCGGCUUUGCGUGUCUUUCGUGAAAUCCCUCGGCUCAACUGAGGACGUGCGGAAGAAACUGCAGGGCUGGAGUCCGGGAGAGGAGGGUGGAAUUCCCAGUGUAGCGGUGAAAUGCGUAGAUAUUGGGAGGAACACCUGCGGCGAAGGCGGGUUGCUGGGCUGACACUGACGCUGAUGCGCGAAAGCCAGGGGAGCGAACGGG